GGCAAGAUGACCGAGUGGUCUAAGGUGUGUGACUCAAGCGAAAGCUUGCCCUAGCUUAGGGUUCUCAUCAGCGUCAGCUGGCGUGGGUUCGAAUCCCACUCUUGUCA
rfam:Fomitiporia mediterranea MF3/22 unplaced genomic scaffold FOMMEscaffold_2, whole genome shotgun sequence.